GUUUGUGUGUGUGAUUACCUUGAUAUGGAGAUAGCCUUAUUUGGCUGUCAUGUGGAGAAAAAAACACCUACAACUUCUUCUGCACACUCCCUCUUCUCUGCUGAGACAUCAGUGAGGGCGACAUGUCUCCUGGAGCUAGAAGUUUACAUCCACUUCCAGAUGAUGUUCCCAUAGCCAACUCCUAAAUUUCCCUGUCCAGAUGGCCCCGAGUCUCCCUGGGUUUAUCCUUAAGGAGUGGUCUACUGUACAAUGAAGAAACUUCUGGAGGCAUUACCAUCCCUGACUUCAAACUCUACUACAAAGCUACAGUAAUGAAAACAGCCUUGUAUUCACAUAAGAACAGACAGGAGGACCAAUGGAAUCGAAUAGAAUUGAUCUGGCUAUCAAUCUACAUACCUACAAACACCUGAUUUUUGACAAAGAAGAUAAAAAUAUAAAAUGGGGAAAAAGUAUAUUCAACAAAUAGUGCAAGCACAACUAGAUAUCAACAAGUUGAGAAAUGCAAAUAGAUCCAUAUCUAUCUCCAUGCUCAAAACUCAAGUCCAAAUGGAUCAAAAACCUCAACAUAAAAUCAACCACACUGAGCCUCAUAGAAGAGAAUGUGGGAAGUGACUUUUACACAUUGGCACAGGAGACCACUUCCUAAAUAUAACCCCAGUAGCACCAGACAUUGAGAGCAACAACUAAUAAAUAGGACCUCCUGAAAAUGAAAAGCUUCUGUAAAGCAGAGGACACAGUCAAAAAGACAAAACAGCAGCCUACACAAUGGGAAAAUAUCUUACCAACCUCAUAUCAGACAGAGAACUGAUCUCCAAAAUAUGCAAAGAACUCAAGAAACUUGAUAUCUAAAGAACAAAUAAUUCAAUAAAAAUGGGGUACAGACCUAAACAGAGAUCUCUCAACAGAUGAAUUUCAAAUGAAUGAAAGACACUUAAGGAAAUGUUCAACAUCCUUAGCCAUCAGAGAAAUAUAAAUCAAAACAACUCUGAGAUUCCACCUUACACCUGUCAGAAUGUCCAAGAUCAAAAUCACUGAUGACACAGGCCCACUAUAGAGCUUGUGGGGUAAAGGGAACACUCCUCCAUUGCUGGUGGGAGUGCAAGCUGGUACAGUCACUUUGGAAAUCAGUAUGGUGAUUUCUCAGAAAAUCAGGAAACAAUCUACCUCAAGUCCAGCAAUACUACUUUUGGUUAUAUAUCCAAAGAUGCUCAAUUGUACCACAAGGACAUGUGCUCAACUAUGUUUAUAGCUGCAUUGUUUGUCAUAGCCAGAUCUUGGAAACAACCUAGAUGCCCUCAACUGAAAAGUGGUUAAGGAAAAUGUGGUACAUUUACUCAAUGGAGUACUACACAAAGGUA